GAGGCAUGGCCUUGUGGGAACUGGGAGAUCAUCUAACCCCUUGGUAUCCUAAGUGUGCCAUGAAUGUUAACAGAGACUGGAGCAAGGCCUAACAUUGGGCUAAUGGCAACAAUUACUAACAGUGACCAACUAGAAGGAGAAUAGACGCGUCGUCACAAAAAGAAGCCAAUGAGAAUCUAGACGGAAUGAAAUGGGCAACAAUCCCCAAGCCACAGACUCAUUCAUCACCCAUCACAAGGAAGAAGCAACAGCUAGGGCGGUGGCCCUGGGGAGAACAGUGCUUCCCUGCUUCGAGAGUACGUCAUAAAAUGUAGGUGAAGGAAGGCAUAAAUGACCUGUUCUAAGAACGCAGGGGAAGGUCUCCCUCAACACAGCAUUCAUUGGUAAGAGCUUCC
rnacentral:lncRNA from 1 species